rnacentral:rRNA from 1 species
UGGUGGAGCGAUUUGUCUGGUCUAUUCCGAUAACGAACGAGACUCUAGCCUACUAAAUAGUUCGGGGACCCCCACAAAGGGGCCCCGCUUCAACUUCUUAGAGGGACAGGUGGCGUUUAGCCACACGAGAUUGAGCAAUAACA